rnacentral:hammerhead_ribozyme from 1 species
GCACUGCUGAGGAGUCGCACACGAAGACUAAACGGCCGUCUAGUGC